rnacentral:rRNA from 1 species
UACGGAGGAUGCGAGCGUUAUCCGGAUUUAUUGGGUUUAAAGGGUGCGCAGGCGGCGCGUUAAGUCAGCGGUGAAAUGUCCCGGCUCAACCGGGGAGCUGCCGUUGAUACUGGCGUGCUGGAGUGCGGACGGCGCCGGCGGAAUGAGUGGUGUAGCGGUGAAAUGCAUAGAUAUCACUCAGAACACCGAUCGCGAAGGCAGCUGGCGAGGCCGCAACUGACGCUGAGGCACGAAAGCGUGGGGAUCAAAC